rnacentral:tRNA from 1 species
GGUUCCAUAGUUCAACGGAUAGAAUAGAAGUUUCCUAAACUUUUGAUCCCAGUUCGAUUCUGGGUGGGACCA